rnacentral:rRNA from 1 species
AACGAACGCUGGCGGCAGGCUUAACACAUGCAAGUCGAACGGUUGUAGCAAUACAGCAGUGGCAGACGGGUGAGUAACACGUGGGAACCUUCCUAGGGGUACGGAACAACUCAGGGAAACUUGAGCUAAUACCGUAUACGUCCGUGAGGAGAAAGAUUUAUCGCCCCUAGACGGGCCCGCGUAGGAUUAGGUAGUUGGUGAGGUAACGGCUCACCAAGCCUACGAUCCUUAGCUGAUCUGAGAGGAUGAUCAGCCACACUGGGACUGAGACACGGCCCAGACUCCUACGGGAGGCAGCAGUGGGGAAUCUUGGACAAUGGGCGCAAGCCUGAUCCAGCCAUGCCGCGUGAGUGAAGAAGGCCUUCGGGUUGUAAAGCUCUUUUACCAGGGACGAUAAUGACGGUACCUGGAGAAUAAGCCCCGGCAAACUUCGUGCCAGCAGCCGCCGUAA